GAACGCUGGCGGCGUGCCUAAUACAUGCAAGUCGAGCGAACAGACGAGGAGCUUGCUCCUCUGACGUUAGCGGCGGACGGGUGAGUAACACGUGGAUAACCUACCUAUAAGACUGGGAUAACUUCGGGAAACCGGAGCUAAUGCCGGAUAAUAUAUUGAACCGCAUGGUUCAAUAGUGAAAGACGGUUUUGCUGUCACUUAUAGAUGGAUCCGCGCCGCAUUAGCUAGUUGGUAAGGUAACGGCUUACCAAGGCGACGAUGCGUAGCCGACCUGAGAGGGUGAUCGGCCACACUGGAACUGAGACACGGUCCAGACUCCUACGGGAGGCAGCAGUAGGGAAUCUUCCGCAAUGGGCGAAAGCCUGACGGAGCAACGCCGCGUGAGUGAUGAAGGUCUUCGGAUCGUAAAACUCUGUUAUUAGGGAAGAACAAAUGUGUAAGUAACUAUGCACGUCUUGACGGUACCUAAUCAGAAAGCCACGGCUAACUACGUG
rnacentral:rRNA from 1 species